rnacentral:rRNA from 1 species
UACGAAGGGGGCUAGCGUUGCUCGGAAUCACUGGGCGUAAAGGGUGCGUAGGCGGCUCGAUAAGUUGGGCGUGAAAGGCCCGGGCUCAACCUCGGAACUGCCUUCGAUACUGCGGGUCUCGAGUCCGGGAGAGGUGAGUGGAAUUCCUAGUGUAGAGGUGAAAUUCGUAGAUAUUAGGAAGAACACCAGUGGCGAAGGCGGCUCACUGGACCGGUACUGACGCUGAGGCGCGAAAGCGUGGGGAGCAAACAGG